rnacentral:rRNA from 1 species
UGAGGAAUAUUGGUCAAUGGUCGGGAGACUGAACCAGCCAAGCCGCGUGAGGGAUGAAGGUGCUAAGCAUUGUAAACCUCUUUUGUCAGGGAACAAAGGCAUCCACGAGUGGAUGUGUGAGUGUACCUGAAGAAAAAGCAUCGGCUAACUCCGUGCCAGCAGCCGCGGUAAUACGGAGGAUGCGAGCGUUAUCCGGAUUUAUUGGGUUUAAAGGGUGCGUAGGCGGCCUGUUAAGUCAGCGGUAAAAGCCCGGGGCUCAACCCCGGCGAGCCGUUGAAACUGGCUGGCUGGAGUUGGCGAGAGGUAUGCGGAAUGCGCGGUGUGCAGGCGGUGAAAUGCUUAGAUAUCGCGCAGAACUCCGAUUGCGAAGGCAGCAUGCCGGCGCCAUACUGACGCUGAGGCACGAAAGCGUGGGGAUCAAACAGGAUUAGAUACC